CACGCCCGGCGGCUGCGAGCGGCCGCCCCAGCGGAACCGCGUCCCCACGGCCCGGCACAGGGAGCUCCGGUGUGAGCGAGACAAAGGGGACAGCGAGCAGCGGGACGUAACGUGCAGACCAGCGCCAUUCCUAACGCAGCAGCACGGGAAGGUCACCUGCAAUCACGGCUUCCCCCCUUUUGGAUCCUGCACAGACAGUGAGGCUGACGGCUGCAGUUACAGCUGGCCUCGUUUGUUUAAAAUCAUUCACCUGCACCUGCCCCCCCGUUCGACCCGCCCAAUUACUCGUUAACAUCAUGAACGCCAGAUGCGCUGCCGGCCGCUCCGAGCCCGGAGAUGGACGAGCCUUCCCGGGCGGAUCCCAUCGUUCUGCUGAUAAACACGGAGACACCGAGCGGAGUGAGCACGGGACGGGGCAGACGGGCACAAAGCGACCUCGGCCGGACAUGAAGCUCCGGGUGCCGGUGCCGUCCCAGCGCAGCUGCUGCCCGGCUCACGGAGCGCACCGCCGGGCUGCCCCGCCCGCAGGGGGCGGCUGGGUUUGCUCCAUUUAUCGGGCUCCAGCAGCAAACCAAAGCAAUACAUAAAUCCAAGGCUACCACAGCUGGCGGCUGAACAGGGGUAAUUAGGGACUGCACGGUACUGCAAUCAAAUUAGAGACCGUCCUGGCAAACAGGGAUGGUCGGAGCCAAAAGAAUGAAAGGAAGGCGGAGCACAAUGGAGUUUUCUGUAAUUCCCAGAAUAGGCACCUUAGCACAAAAGGGUCUUUUCAUCCUCGCUUCGGGUUCCCCGAGCAUUCUAAACCAGCUUCCAGCGUCACUACAAUCAACGUGUCAAUUAAUACAAAUCUCAGCAGGUAAACAUGUAAAAAUGGCGUUAAACACAGGCAGGAUGUGUCAGACCUGCUUAAUCCUCGUUUCAGCUCUACUACCGCAGCCCAUGUCGGGGUUCCAGCUGAAUGCUGGGGCCAAGGUUGGGCAGGGGAGGGGCAGAACAUGGCAGAGCCUUGUUAUCCAAGUUUCAGUGUUAUAGAAGUUGACCAAAGCAAUGGUAAAUGUGCUACAAAGUUUGGCUGAAAUCAAGUAUUUGCCGCAGUGGACAGAAAAAAAAUCAAGAGUCCAUCUGAAAAACAAGUAAUUCAGAAGCAACUGUAGCAGCCCUCAAUAAAACACUGAGAAGUCAAAGCGAAGCAGAAGGAAUGGAAUGCGCUUUGUCCCAGUGCCCUGGACUUGUUCAGCUCCCCCUCCUCCUCAACCAACUAUUCUUCAGUUAACUAACAGAGCUCAACUCUUGUUGAGGCCACACUGGCACAGAAAAGCACCAUUCAAUUUAGGCAUGUACGUGGACAUGUGCCAGAGCUCCUUACACUGACAGAGAAAUAAACACUACAAAGUCUAUAUCCAUAGGGCGCUGGGCAGCCAUGUGUGAGCACAGAGCGAUGGGUCUGAGCCUUCCUGGGCAGAGCUGGCAGCUCUCACUGCAAACCCACCACUACAACUGCAUGAAAAAACGACAUCGCUGAAUGCCAAAGUCCCACCUCCCAGAUUCAAGAAUGACAACCUCCUCCCGGAUGCAUAAUAGAUGCUGGGAGGGAGGAUGAUUAUUAUCCUGCUUAUAAGGGGAACUUUGAAAAUAUUCUCACCCCAAACCAAAGAUGUAUUUAUUUGUUUUUUAAAGCAAACCCCCUCAUUUCAUAGGAGCUUGCAAUAUUCUGCAGAGCUUUCGUCUUCAGUUAGACAGACCUGCACAGUACCUGGGCCAACUUUUCAUUUUCUCCCAUUACCCUUCGAACAGCUUAAACCAGGAGUGCUGCACUACAGAUUGAUCUGCUCGCAGAGGCACUAAAACCACAACAGCUCACAGCUCUGCCUGGAAACAUAAGGGAUGGGCCCAGUGAUACGUAACCCCCAUAAACCCGGCCGAGCGAGAAGUCACAAGAUGAAUCAAGAAUUCCAGCCAUGCAGGCAGAAGCACCCACUGCAGCUCUCAGCAUCAUGGGGACCUUCCACUCCAAGGCUGGAUUUAUUGCUUUGAUUAUUGAUUUAAUCUAGGGAUUCCACACCACAAAUAUACAAGGUAAGCGAGAGCACUAAUGAGCAGGGCACCACCACAGUGUGUCACUGAGCCACACUGCCACUAUUUUAAUGUGGGCACAUGAUAACAAGAAAUGAUACCCCCAGCAUGCAUUUUGUAAUCUGUGUUAUCAUUUCCAUCGUUUUUAAACAUUUGAACAAUUACAUUAAUCCCGUCAAGCAUCUGUACUGUCCCAAAUUGUCCCACCAUGGCACCCAUAAAAUUUGAAAAUGUAAUUCUGAAAACCCUUUGGCUUUUAUAUUGCCAAGGUUAGAAAGGGAGAUGAAGGCAGACAGCCUUUGUCAGGCAGGAUUCUGGCGGAGGCUCCCAUGCAUCAUUCUGCUUCAGGAACCCGGUGUUAAAGAGAAGGCCUAAACAGCACAGAGCUGAGACCAACAUGACAAAGAAACCACAGCCACAUUCUGCAAAGGGCAGCAAGAGGUGCUUCAGUGAGUGCAAAGCACCGUCACUUGUAAACAAACAGCUUCCAUCUUGCUACAUCCAAUAUCAGUCAACUCCAUUUCAUCCACACUGUCAUAUGACAGGAUGAGAACAAGGACGGUCUGGCAACAGCAUUGCUUACAUUAGAAGUAAAGGACAAAGGGAGCUACGUGUCACCACAUAUAGGUCGCAGUCAAAUGAAUGCCCCAUGUGUGUGCCCAGCAGCUUCACCUAGAUAAGAAUCAACUACAUCCUACGGUACUGAAAAUAGAACAAAUAACCUCCAGUUUUAAGCAAAAAAGUUGAGAUGUAUUACAUUUAUAAAGGAAUGCCAACAGCAAGGAAAAAGGUCAGAUUUAAGGUUGGGACUGUGGCCAUAAUUUCAUACCACAGUCACUGGCAGGGAAAACAAAGGCACUGCAAAGCAUGAAAGAACAGCACUGACCAUCUUUCAUUCCUGAGAUUCUUUUAUUCCUCCCUGCCCUCAGAUUUCCCAGAUGAUCGGUGCAGUAUUUCAAGCUGAACAUUACAAUCAUUUGCUCAGAAGAUGCAGGACCAAUGUAUGGCAUUUCCUCAUCCACAGGGAAAAAAUCUGGUUUCUCGCUAAUGUACAGGACUGACAGAUGUCUGUGCCAUCAAGUCACUUUUAUGCUCCUUUUCAAACUAAUUACUGUCUCCCUCAACCCAAAACCUGAACAUGUUUGGGUUGGUUUUUUCCUGAGGAGAGAAGCAAGGUCUUUGUGUGCGGCAUUUGAUUCUGGAGGAACAUUCCUAUAUCUGAAAUAGCUGCAUAUAGAGAAUAAGGCUGCAGACAGAAAAAAGAGCCAAUCCAGCUGCUUCAGAAAGGAGGAGAGUGGAGUUCUCAGCCUUUUAACUACAGAACUGUAAAAAUGCCCCUCUAUUGGUAAAGAGAAAUGAAAAAAUAGAAAACUAAGGGAAAUUAUGAAACUGAAUUUGUCAUUCCCAUGAAAUAAUUUUUAAUUAUAUGUGGCAAUAUUCUAAGCCAAAAAAAGGUUAAAGGUUGCAGCAAAUUAUCGUCACUUUCACACAUCUCAGCAAACAAAAUUAUAGCCUUGAUUUUCAAUUGCUUCCAAAACCUCGUUCAAUAGGAAAGUCUCCCAAAACAAAGGAAGCUGAGACUUUCCAAGUCCAAUGAAACCACAAAAACAUUUCUGAAGCGAUUAAGGAAAAUGCAGCCAUUGCUCUGUACAGUCCAAAGGCUCUGGCUCUCCUGCUGACAGGCAUUAGGUGGCACUUUGGAAUUCAGCAGUUACCACACAAAGUUGCCUCAGAUUUUCAGUGGAUUCUGUUGCACGCCAACAGAUCUGAGUCUCAACUCGCCCUACUAAGCAGGGCCUGUGUGCUCCCCUGUCAAAUCCCUUUGGAAGGAACUUCACAGGAUCUGAUGUAUUUGGUCAGAUCUUCCUGGUUGUAGCUGAAAUUCAUGCAGGAAGGAGAGAUGGGUACAAAACCUCCGCACAGUCUGAAGCUCUGGCAGGCGCUGACUUCCACAGAGGGCUAUGAAAGCAAAUUCUUUGCCUGCUUCCGCCUCCAAAAGAUUCUCAUUAAUAUUAAUAGAUGCAUUUCAGCUUCAUUUAGCACCUCCUACUGUGAGGACAGCAUCUCACAGGAACCCAUCCUCUGGGGGAAAAAAUCUCAUUAAAAAUAAUUCCUGCUAUUCCUAAUUAAUACCUGAACAAAUCACCUAUGACCCACUCAGCCUGUCCAAGAAAUCAAUUUCUCCCAUUAAAACAACUUCAAGAUGCCUUUUAGAAAAACCCCUCCCACUUCCUUCAUUUAAAAUUAAGUCUAUGCACAAACCUUGUGGCAAUUACAGCACCUCCAUGACCUCCAUUUGAAGAUCCAAGAUUCUUUAUGAAUGGCCAAAGGACUAUGCUGUACAUGCAAAUGUCAACAAGCUCCAUUUGCAUAUUCCAAAUUCAUACUGAACUCACCGAAUUCACACAUCAAUAAAUGAAGUGAAAGAAGUCCCUGUGCAGGCUGCCCAGGAUGAGGAGCUACUGCUACAGAAUAAACUUAAAGUCAAUAUCAAUAAUAAUAACAACAACGAUAAUAGUGAUUAGAAUCAAUGUUGGAAUAAUACCUUGGUUUUUGCCUCCUGAGGACUUCAGAACAACCAUUACACACUGGGCACAUUGCCCACAUCCUCUUUUCUCAAAUUGUCCAAUAAAAAAAGAUUUUCUUUCCUAAGAAAUCUUCAACUACACAGUGCAAAAAAUACCGAGACUGUUACAAAGCUCUCACUACAAACCCCCUGGAUUCCACUCUGACUGUUCAUUUGCAGAGAUCAUUAAAGAUCAUUCAGCAUUCUCACAACACAGAAAUAACCUUCGACUCUUGCCCAAAUUCUACACAGAAUAACCAGAUUGCAUAUAAUCACCUUGACCACUCCCACAUGGAAGAGCUCCCAUUUGAGUAAUACCAUAAUAUGUCUUACAACACGAGGCUGAACAGGGUGAUAGAGAUGAGCAUCUCAGUUGUGGAAGCAUCUGACUAAAGCACAAGCAAUCCCUGCAGCCAGCAGAGCAUAUUAUAGCUUCCAAUUUGUGUGCUCUUGACAACAUAGUGCAAUAAAUAAUAAUAAAAUUGCAAUCACUCGA